rnacentral:rRNA from 1 species
GACGAACGCUGGCGGCGUGCCUAAUACAUGCAAGUCGAGCGGGCCUCCGGAGGUGCUUGCACCUCCGGAAGGCCAGCGGCGGACGGGUGAGUAACACGUGGGCAACCUGCCUUUGAGGCCGGGAUAACACCGGGAAACCGGUGCUAAUACCGGAUACAUCCUCUUUCGCGCCUGCUAGAGGGGAGAAAGACGGUCUUUAAGGCCGUCGCUCAAAGAGGGGCCCGCGGCGCAUUAGCUGGUUGGGGGGGUAAGGGCCUACCAAGGCGACGAUGCGUUGCCGACCUGAGAGGGUGAUCGGCCACACUGGGACUGAGACACGGCCCCGACUCCUGCGGGAGGCAGCAGUAGGGAAUCAUCCGCAAUGGGCGAAAGCCUGACGGUGCAACGCCGCGUGAGUGAGGAAGGUUUUCGGAUCGUAAAGCUCUGUUGUGAGGGAAGAACAGCUUCCGGAGGAAAUGCCGGAGGUUUGCCGGUACCUCACCAGAAAGCCCCGGCUAACUACGUGCCAGCCGCCGCCGUAACAC